rnacentral:rRNA from 1 species
AGAGUUUGAUCAUGGCUCAGGAUGAACGCUAGCUACAGGCUUAACACAUGCAAGUCGAGGGGAAACGACAUCGAAAGCUUGCUUUUGAUGGGCGUCGACCGGCGCACGGGUGAGUAACGCGUAUCCAACCUGCCCACCACUUGGGGAUAACCUUGCGAAAGUAAGACUAAUACCCAAUGACGUCUCUAGAAGACAUCUGAAGGAGAUUAAAGAUUUAUCGGUGAUGGAUGGGGAUGCGUCUGAUUAGCUUGUUGGCGGGGUAACGGCCCACCAAGGCGACGAUCAGGUAGGGGUUCUGAGAGGAAGGUCCCCCANAUUGGAACUGAGACACGGUCCAAACUCCGUACGGGAGGCA